rnacentral:ncRNA from 1 species
AAAAGACUUAGUCCUAACCUUACUAUUGGUUUUUGCUAGACAUAUACAUGCAAGUAUCCGCACUCCAGUGAAAAUGCCCCUAAAUCUUCCCCAAGCAAAAGGAGCAGGUAUCAGGCACACUCAUAAGUAGCCCAAGACGCCUUGCCAAGCCACACCCCCACGGGUACUCAGCAGUAAUUAACCUUAAGCAAUAAGUGCAAACUUGACUUAGCCAUGGCAACUUAGGGUUGGUAAAUCUUGUGCCAGCCACCGCGGCCAUACAAGAAACCCAAAUCAAUAGACACCCGGCGUAAAGAGUGGACAUAUGUUAUCUGCACCCACUAAGAUCAAAAUGUGGCCAAGCUGUCAUAAGCCCAAGACCCACCUAAGCCCAAUCCCAAAACCAUCUUAGCCUCCAUGACUAAUUUUAACCCACGAAAGCUAGGGUCCAAACUGGGAUUAGAUACCCCACUAUGCCUAGCCCUAAAUUUAGAUACCUCUUUCUCCACACACGUAUCCGCCUGAGAACUACGAGCACAAACGCUUAAAACUCUAAGGACUUGGCGGUGCCCCAAACCCACCUAGAGGAGCCUGUUCUGUAAUCGAUAAUCCACGAUCCACCCAACCACCCCUUGCCAACACAGCCUACAUACCGCCGUCGCCAGCCCACCUCCAAUGAAAGAACAACAGUGAGCUCAACAGCCCCCCGCUAACAAGACAGGUCAAGGUAUAGCCCAUGGGGUGGAAGAAAUGGGCUACAUUUUCUAGCAUAGAACAAACGAAAAAGGGUGUGAAACCCACCCUUGGAAGGAGGAUUUAGCAGUAAAGUGAGACCACUCCCCCUUAAGCUCACUUUAAGAUGGCCCUGAGGCACGUACAUACCGCCCGUCACCCUCUUCACAAGUCACCAGUACUAAUAAAUAAUACCCCUUCCCGGCUAAAGACGAGGUAAGUCGUAACAAGGUAAGUGUACCGGAAGGUGCACUUAGACCAC